rnacentral:rRNA from 1 species
UACGUAGGGUGCGAGCGUUUAAUCGGAAUUACUGGGCGUAAAGUGUGCGCAGGCGGCCGAGCAAGUCGAGUGUGAAAGCCCCGAGCUUAACUUGGGAACUGCGCUCGAAACUACUUGGCUAGAGUGUGGCAGAGGGAGGUGGAAUUCCACGUGUAGCGGUGAAAUGCGUAGAGAUGUGGAGGAACACCGGAUGGCGAAGGCAGCCUCCUGGGCCAACACUGACGCUCAUGCACGAAAGCGUGGGAGCAAACAGG